ACUCACUAAUGAUAAUGGAAUCAGAUCUCUCCCAUGGAUACACCAGGUCCAAACUCAAAAGUCAUGAGUGAUAUCUGAUCAGACUAGCCAGGUUCAUGAAUUACUCAAUCAAAUUUCUAUUCCAGCAGACACUAAAUUGGUAUAAACCAAUUUACAAAAAGAACUAUACAUUUAAACUCAGAGAUGACUCCAUUUUAUUUGUAGCAUGAUCACCAUAAACUAUUCUAUCAAUUUUAGCAUGAGUUUGAGGAAGAGUCGGAGGAGGAAGGACACUUAAUGAGAUAUCAGAGCAUCACAUAAUCGGGCAUCAAGCAAGAAACUGAAAAUGAUGAGGACAUCAUAGUCAAACCUUUCAAGGUUUAUGAGCGAAACAAAUGGAAGGAGAAAGCACCUAAUCAUUCAAGAUAAUUAUUACACCUGGGAGGGAAACAAAGUCUGAUGCCUGAAGUCUCUAAGCUGUUUGUGUCUUUUCAUAUUUCCAUUUCAGUUUAGUAGUCUUAAGGUCUCUUUAAGUUAGUCUUAAAUGCGUCAGUUUCAGGAGGGUCCUAAUGAGUCUUUAAUGCUUCAGUUUUAGAAGAGUCUUUAAGAGUCUUUAGUGCAGUCCAUUUGAGCUACCAGCUCAAGUAUAAAUAAGUGUAAGGGCUACCUAGGUAUGCUAUGCUAUGUUAUAUGAAUAAAAAAUUAUCAGAGUGUUUCUGAGAUUUCCUGUGAUGGGAUUGGCGUGAAGCCUAGUUUGGGUGAGAGGCCUAAAUUUUGGUGAGAAACCAGGGAGUGAUUCCCAAAUCCAAGUGUUUUGUGUGUGUUUAAAGCCCCAAGCUUUAGAGCUUGUUGAUCCUGGUAUCUAAGCAGUAGGUUUGCUGCAUCAGUUUUUGGUAUCAGAGCUGGACAAGCUCCAGCCAAGUCCAAGCUCCAGCCAAGAAUCCUCAUUUAACCAUGGAUCUUGCAGCCUUGGCUAAAACAAUUGAAGGCUUAGCCGCUCAAAUUGGUCAUCUUGAGACCAGAAUACAGGAUCAAGCAGUUGCUUCUGAGCAACGUUUGGCUGCAAUUGAAGCUUCUAUCCAGAACGAAGAAGAGAGUGUUAGUGGAGGAUCAAGGAUGCAGUCUAGGAGGAAUGGUCGCAGGCAGGCUGUUCGAAACAACAAUGGGCAAGAUGGACAUGAUCCUGAGGAAAAAGCACUGAAGUCUAUCAAAGUUGAAGCUCCAAACUUUGAUGGCCAGCUGAAUGCGAAGGUGUGUCUAGAUUGGAUAUCAGACAUGGACCACUAUUUUGACUGGUACGAGUUGUCUGAAACUCGAAGGGUGCGGUUUGCAAAGAUGAAGUUGGUGGGCAAAGCUAGAGAAUGGUGGAGUGGUGUGGAAAGGCGAGCUGCAAGAGCCGGUGAUGAACCUAUCACUCAUUGGGAGGAGAUGAAAGAAAGGCUGAAGGAGAAGUACGUUCCUUUGGCUUACAAAGAGCGCUUGCUGGACCAGUGGCAAUCUCUUCGUCAAGGGAACAUGACAGCUGCUGAGUAUAUUGAUAAGUUUGAAGAAUUUAUGGUGAGAUGCAACAUAAAUGAAGAUCCUUCUGUGACACUCGCUCGUUUCAGAACCGGCCUUCGUUCAGAACUUCAGAGGGAGCUGAUUCCUCAUGAAGUAUAUUCAUUGGAGCGAGCAUACCAAAUAGUGCUGGAAUUGGAGCGCUACUUGAAGACUCCUACAACUGUGCAUAGCCGAUCUGACCAGGAAAAUCCUGAAUUUCGUCCCAGCUCAUCGGGAACAGCACCAUCUCCAUUUGUCAAUAGCUCCAGUACUGCCAAUUCAUUGGUGAAAGCUGAUACAGGAAAGGGAGUACAAUCUGGUGUUCGAGGAGGGGGAUCUGUAAAGUGCUCAAGUGUCUAGGCCAUGGUCACUAUGCUGGCCAAUGCCCAACCAAAGAGAAACCUCGUAGUCUGUUUGCAGCAAGCACAGGAAAAGAGGCUCGAGNNNNNNNNNNNNNNNNNNNNCCUUUACAAGGUUUAUGAGCGAAACAAAUGGAAGGAGAAAGCACCUAAUCAUUCAAGAUAAUUAUUACACCUGGGAGGGAACAAAGUCUGAUGCCUGAAGUCUCUAAGCUGUUUGUGUCUUUUCAUAUUUCCAUUUCAGUUUAGUAGUCUUAAGGUCUCUUUAAGUUAGUCUUAAAUGCGUCAGUUUCAGGAGAGAGUCCUAAUGAGUCUUUAAUGCUGCAGUUUUAGAAGAGUCUUUAAGAGUCUUUAGUGCAGUCCAUUUGAGCUACCAGCUCAAGUAUAAAUAAGUGUAAGGGCUACCUAGGUAUGCUAUGCUAUGUUAUAUGAAUAAAAAAUUAUCAGAGUGUUUCUGAGUUUUCCUGUGAUGGGAUUGGCGUGAAGCCUAGUUUGGGUGAGAGGCCUAAAUUUUGGUGAGAAACCAGGGAGUGAUUCCCAAAUCCAAGUGUUUUGUGUGUGUUUAAAUCCCCAAGCUUUAGAGCUUGUUGAUCCUGGUAUCUAAGCAGUAGGUUUGCUGCAUCACUGAACCUUCUAAAAAUGUUAUGCAUGGAAGAAAACAGAAAUGGACUUAGAAAUUUUUAAAAAAAAUGGAACUCAAGAUAUUCACAGUUUGAGGCAUCUUGAGAAUUAGAGUUCAAGAAAUUUGGAAGAGCUCCCUCAUUAUUACAAACCAGUAAAUUCAAGAGGCUCAUUCUGUGAUUAUUUAGCAAACAAGAAAUGCUGCUAUAAAUCAAGAAGGUACCACAGCACGCUCUUAACUUUCAAGGUUUCUUGUAACUAAAUACAUAGAUCAAUUCGUUCCAGUAUAAAACUUAGCUAGAACAUUCCCUUGUUACCAUAGAGUCCUAUUUUGUUUAUUGGAACCAUAGUAUCCUAUGGAAUAGAGAAUGGAAUGAAACAAAUAAUCAAUAGAUUCAGAGUAGUUGAAUUAAUAAUAGAAUUGUGUCAUCUAAUUGGUUGCUAAGAAUAAAUGUGGACUAUUAGC
rnacentral:lncRNA from 1 species